rnacentral:rRNA from 1 species
UGGGUUUAAAGGGUGCGCAGGCGGGCUUGUAAGUCAGUGGUGAAAUACUGCCGCUUAACGGUAGAAUUGCCAUUGAUACUGCGAGUCUUGAGUAUAGAUGAGGUAGGCGGAAUGAGUAGUGUAGCGGUGAAAUGCAUAGAUAUUACUCAGAACACCAAUUGCGAAGGCAGCUUACUAAACUAUAACUGACGCUGAAGCACGAAAGCGUGGGUAUCAAACAGGAUUAGAUACCCUGGUAGUCCACGCCGUAMACGAUGAUUACUGGUUGUUUGCGAUACACAGUAAGCGACUGAGCGAAAGCAUUAAGUAAUCCACCUGGGGAGUACGUUGGCAACAAUGAAACUCAAAGGAAUUGACGGGGGCCCGCACAAGCGGUGGAACAUGUGGUUUAAUUCGAUGAUACGCGAGGAACCUUACCUGGGCUUAAAUGGGGAGUGACAGGGGUAGAAAUACCCUUUUCUUCGGACACUCUUCAAGGUGCUGCAUGGUUGUCGUCAGCUCGUGCCGUGAGGUGUCGGGUUAAGUCCCAUAACGAGCGCAACCCCUGUUGUCAGUUACCAUCACGUAAAGGUGGGGACUCUGACAAGACUGCCGGUGUAAACCGCGAGGAAGGUGGGGAUGACGUCAAAUCAGCACGGCCCUUACGUCCAGGGCUACACACGUGUUACAAUGGCCAGUACAAAGGGCAGCUACACAGCAAUGUGAUGCUAAUCUCGAAAACUGGUCCCAGUUCGGAUUGGAGUCUGCAACCCGACUUCAUGAAGCUGGAAUCGCUAGUAAUCGCGCAUCAGCCAUGGCGCGGUGAAUACGUUCCCGGGCCUUGUACACACCGCCCGUCAAGCCAUGGAAGCCGGGAGUACCUGAAGUAUGUAACCGCAAGGAGC